rnacentral:rRNA from 1 species
GGCGCUGCUACCAUGCAGUCGAGCGAUUUACUUCGGUAAAGAGCGGCGGACGGGUGAGUAACGCGUGGGUAACCUGCCUCAUACACAUGGAUAACAUACCGAAAGGUAUGCUAAUACAGGAUAAUAUAAGAGAUUCACAUGGAUUUCUUAUCAAAGCUCCGGCGGUAUGAGAUGGACCCGCGUCUGAUUAGCUAGUUGGUAAGGUAAUGGCUUACCAAGGCGACGAUCAGUAGCCGACCUGAGAGGGUGAUCGGCCACAUUGGAACUGAGACACGGUCCAAACUCCUACGGGAGGCAGCAGUGGGGAAUAUUGCACAAUGGGCGAAAGCCUGAUGCAGCAACGCCGCGUGAGUGAUGAAGGCCUUCGGGUCGUAAAACUCUGUCCUCAAGGAAGAUAAUGACGGUACUUGAGGAGGAAGCCCCGGCUAACUACGUGCCAGCAGCCGCGGUAAUACGUAGGGGGCUAGCGUUAUCCGGAUUUACUGGGCGUAAAGGGUGCGUAGGUGGUUUUUUAAGUCAGGAGUGAAAGGCUACGGCUCAACCGUAGUAAGCUCUUGAAACUGGAAAACUUGAGUGCAGGAGAGGAAAGUGGAAUUCCUAGUGUAGCGGUGAAAUGCGUAGAUAUUAGGAGGAACACCAGUAGCGAAGGCGGCUUUCUGGACUGUAACUGACACUGAGGCACGAAAGCGUGGGGAGCAAACAGGAUUAGAUACCCUGGUAGUCCACGCCGUAAACGAUGAGUACUAGUGUCGGGGGUUACCCCCCUCGGUGCCGCAGCUAACGCAUUAAGUACUCCGCCUGGGGAGUACGCUCGCAAGAGUGAAACUCAAAGGAAUU